GCGGGGAUAGCUCAGUUGGGAGAGCGUCAGACUGAAGUAAAACUUCAAUCUUGGCAUCUGAAGGUCGUGCGUUCGAUCCGCACUCACCGCA